UCACCUUCUCCUCUCGUCGAUCCCUCUCCGGUGGAUUCCCCUUCGGAAGCGUCCGGGCCAGGUGGCCCAAGCCCGAACCCAGCCGGAGAAAGUGUACAUCGAACCACAGUCUGAGCCAUCCCGCCAGCGGUACAUACCUGUUCGUUCUCCAACUAAAGAAACCCGCCCAGGUCACGGCUCAAGUCUCCAUCCCCUUCCUUCCAACAAGACGACCCGGUCAUCAGCUCCAGUAUUCGCUUCCUGACCCCUCCCCUGACUUCAAUAAAACUUAUUAUUGUGCACUUUA